ACAAGAUCCCUCAUUUUCAUUAGCGCCGCCACCAGCCGUGUCCAUUCCAUCCUCGGGAUCCCACCCGAUCCACCCACCUCGUUUUCUCCUCCAGCCAUCAGAACCCAGCCGAUCCAUCCACGGCAGCCGCUGAUCCAUCCACAGCUCCCCAAAUCCCGUGAACAUGUCCAGCCGACCAUAGCUCCCUCCGUUCGGUGCCGCCCCCGGCCUCCUCCCGGCCCCCACCGAUGAUCUUCUCCCGCUGCCAUGCAGUUGUCCUUGCCUCUUUGCGGCAGGACAGGGAGACCAAGUGCCGCAGCUGACUCUUAUGUGGGCCGCGCCCUCGCUUCUCCUUUGGCCGUAUUGGCGACCAGCUGCCGGAGCUGCCGCGCAACCCCGUCGGCGGACGAAGAGACAACCAUGAAUGCCCGAGGAUCUCCCGCGUCCAAACGAAGAAGUUCAAUCAAGCCACACCCUCUGUCGUCGCCAUUAUGCACCGGCAGCUCGCCGAAGCCAGCAGUAGCCACCAGGACCUCGUGGAGCUCACCAUCGCCAGGAGUGCCGUCGCCUUCAACUUCAUCGGACCAGCAGGACCGUGUCCAUCCUGCUCCAUCAUCCCCUUUGUUUCCUUCCUUUCACCCCGGUCUCUCCCAUCUCUAUUUCUUCUCUCCCUUUUCUCAUCUCUCUAUGUUCUCUGUAGUUAGCAGCAGCAGCGCAUGAAGAUUCAACCAAACCAGGACCCGAUGUCGAGCCACGUCGAGCUUCUCGUCCAAUAUUGGGCCUUCCUCAAGCCCUCUGCCUCGCUGGUGGCCCCAGCUGCGCCAACGUUUGGUUUUCUUGCUCAGUUCGCUGAAUUUGCAAUGUACCUGUUUUGCCUUAGUUCAAAAACUCGUGACCCUGUGGCUGUUCAAACGUACCCCUCUAGCCGAGAUGGUAAUCGCUGCUUAGAGAAUCCCGUGCUAUAUCAAAGGCAGAGUAGUAGUCUAGUUCGCUAGUGCAGCAGGUUUUCCACCAUGAGGUCCACACAUCAAAUUUUUCCACGGCCUCUCUUUUAUUUUCACCCUUUGUAUUUAUUUUCUUUUGCAUGUAUGUUGCAUCCAUGUCAUAUGAUCUUGUGUGGCCCGUAUCUCUUAGGGUUCGAAUCCCAAAUGUGCCAAUAUAAUUUUGUCAUGUUUGUGUUGACCUA